rnacentral:tRNA from 1 species
CUGGCCGAUAUCUGGAGGAAGAUGAGCCGCUAUCGAUGGUUCUCAGGAAAGUGCGCCUGCCUGAUGAAGGAUCAGGCCUUCCGGCAGGA